GUGAUGGUUUUUGGCCAAUAACUCGAAUACUAGACGUCGGAGGGGGGUGCCGUAGAACAAUUUUUUGUAGCCCUUGAAAUUACCUUUCGAAUGAUAUAUAGUGGUUUUUUGGUCAAACAGUGACCCCGAGACUAGUAACCCUCCAUACACAAAACCGCCUACAAAAACUUUGUUUUGAAAAAUUUUGAAAAGUUCAAAAAAAUUUUUUUUUCAAAAACUACUAAAACGUGAUAAGAACUUACUAUAGACCAUGAAAAGUGAUAUCCGAUGAUAAUUUGCAAAAGUUGGUAACUAGUAAAAAAUUUCACUUUUUUACUAGAGUCGGUGCAACGAGAAAAAAAAAGUCCGUGAUGGAGAAAAAUGGCACGUUUUCCACGCCUGUACGCUUUCGUUUUCUAUAUAGGGGGUAGGUGAGCCAGAAGCAUGAAUUUGACUGAGUACGUAUCUUUAUGAAUUGGGCCCUUCUAAAUCGAUUGAGACUACCCCCAGGACGAUCGGACGACUGCUUCUGGCUCAAAAUGUGGUUUUUAGAUUUUGAUCGUCAAUUAUGAGAGAAAAAAUCGAUUAGAAGUAAAGAUACGAAAUGCUUGGUCUAAGUUGGGAAACGACUUCGGAUAUUUGUUGGACGUUGUCGUAGAAGGUCCGAGGACCAAGGAAAAGUGAUUUCCAAGUGGAUUUAUGCACUAUUAGUCGAUGGUAAGAUGUGAAAUUAGUAGAACUUACCAUACAGUUUGCGAAGUUGAAGCAAUCGGUUGGUGAACAUGGUACUGUCUGUCCAAUUUGGUGGUUCGGAAUGAGUGAAACGAUGUUGAUGAUGGAUAGACGUUCCGAUUGCCCCCGAUCGGGGAACAUAUAGUGGUCUUUAAGGUCCAAGUACCUAUGUUUUGGUAAGCAGAACUGAGAGUUAAAGGAUGAAAGUCGGCCAUUCCUAAUAUCAUCCUAUCGGUGGUUCGCGAGUUGUUUGAGGACCGGAGCAGCUCGCGAUGAAACGGUCCUAGGGUAUUGGUUAUCCAUCCAAGGAAGAGUAAAUGCGAUCCUAGAUGUGUGUCGUUGGCCGUUCUACCGGUAUCGCCUAUCGAUGAGAUAUCGACGGGCAUGCCUUACUCGAAAGUUGAAUUCUAGGAUCGAUGGUCAAACAGACCUAUGAGAGAUAAACCAAACUGAACACGUAUUGAUGUCGGCUUUUCCUAUCAUUUGAUGCCGCAGGUUGUUUAGGGACCGGAGCAACUUGCGGCCGAGACGGUCCCCGGGGGUUUCUUUCUCCAAGGAGUGGAAACUAUUAAGCAAGAGUUGUAGCAAGAUACGAUCCUCUGAUGUGUCGUUGGCCGUUCAUGCGGUAUCGCCUGUCGAUGAGACAUCGAUGGGCAUGCCUUACUCUACCGACCUUCUAAUUGAGAGUAUUAAUCAGGGAUCGAUGGUCAAACAAGACCAAUGAGCGAUAAACCAAACUGAACACGUAUUGAUGUCGGCUUUUCCUAUCAUUUGAUGCCGCAGGUUGUUUAGGGACCGGAGCAGCUUGCGACCGAGACGGUCCCCGGGGGUUUCUUUCUCUAAGGAGUGGAAACGAUUAAGCAAAAGUCGUAGCAAUAAUCGAUCACCUGAUGUGUCGUUGGCCGUUCUUGCGGUAUCGCCUGUCGAUGAGAUAUCGAUGGGCAUGCCUUACUCUCCUGACUGUUUAAUUGAGAGUUAUAAUCAGGGAUCGAUGGUCAAAAAGACCUAUGAGCGAUAAACCAAACUGAACACGUAUUGAUGUCGGCAUUUCCUAUCAUUUGUCGCAGGUUGUUUAGGGACCGGAGCAGCUUGCGACCGAGACGGUCCCCGGGGGUUUCUUUCUCCAAGGAGAAGAAACGAUUAAGCAAAAGUUGUAGCAAGAUACGAUCCUCUGAUGUGUCGUUGGCCGUUCAAGCGGUAUCGCCUGUCGAUGAGAUAUCGAUGGGCAUGCCUUACUCUCCCGACUGGAUUACUGAGAGUUUAAUCAGGGAUCGAUGGUCAAACAGACCAAUGAGCGAUAAACCAAACUGAACACAUAUUGAUGUCGGCAUUUCCUAUCAUUUGUCGCAGGUUGUUUAGGGACCGGAGCAGCUUGCGACCGAGACGGUCCCCGGGGGUUUCUUUCUCUAAGGAGUGGAAACGAUUAAGCAAAAGUCGUAGCAAUAAUCGAUCACCUGAUGUGUCGUUGGCCGUUCUUGCGGUAUCGCCUGUCGAUGAGAUAUCGAUGGGCAUGCCUUACUCUCCUGACUGUUUAAUUGAGAGUUAUAAUCAGGGAUCGAUGGUCAAAAAGACCUAUGAGCGAUAAACCAAACUGAACACGUAUUGAUGUCGGCAUUUCCUAUCAUUUGUCGCAGGUUGUUUAGGGACCGGG